ACGCUCGACACCUACGGGAAGCAGCAGUAGGGAAUCUUCCACAAUGGACGCAAGUCUGAUGGAGCAACGCCGCGUGAGUGAAGAAGGUUUUCGGAUCGUAAAGCUCUGUUGUUGGUGAAGAAGGAUAGAGGUAGUAACUGGCCUUUAUUUGACGGUAAUCAACCAGAAAGUCACGGCUAACUACGUGCCAGUAGCCGCGGUAAUCUGAGCGGGCUGGCAAGGC
rnacentral:rRNA from 1 species